rfam:Daphnia pulex DAPPTscaffold_122_Cont5044, whole genome shotgun sequence.
GCUGAUAUGGCCGAGUGGUUAAGGCGACUGACUCGAAAUCAGUUUCUAUCUUGGAGCGUAGGUUCGAAUUCUACUAUAUGCG